rnacentral:rRNA from 1 species
ACAUACGCGUAGAGUUUGAUCCUGGCUCAGCCUGAACGCUGGCGGCGUGGCUAAGACAUGCAAGUCGAACGGGCGUAGCAAUACGUCAGUGGCGCACGGGUGAGUAAUGUAUCGCUAACGUGCCCCGGAGCCUGGGAUAGCUGUCCGAAAGGGCAGGUAAUACCGGAUGAGACCACGAACAGGCAUCUGUUUGUGCUCAAAGCCGCAAGGCACUCUGGGAGCGGGCGAUAUCGUAUCAGCUAGUUGGCGGGGUAACGGCCCACCAAGGCUGCGACGCGUAGCUGGUCUGAGAGGACGGCCAGCCACAUCGGGACUGAGACACUGCCCGGACUCCUACGGGGGCUGCAGUAACGAAUCUUCCGCAAUGCACGAAAGUGUGACGGAGCGACGCCGCGUGGAGGACGAAGUCCUU